UACGUAGGUGGCAAGCGUUGUCCGGAAUUAUUGGGCGUAAAGCGCGCGCAGGCGGUCCUUUAAGUCUGAUGUGAAAGCCCACGGCUCAACCGUGGAGGGUCAUUGGAAACUGGGGGACUUGAGUGCAGGAGAGAAGAGUGGAAUUCCACGUGUAGCGGUGAAAUGCGUAGAGAUGUGGAGGAACACCAGUGGCGAAGGCGAGUCCCUGGAAAAUACCUGACACUGAGGCACGAAAGCUAGGGGAGCAAACAGG
rnacentral:rRNA from 1 species